CCUUCGAUAGCUCAGUUGGUAGAGCGGAGGACUGUAGGUGGGAUGUUGGCAAUCCUUAGGUCGCUGGUUCGACUCCGGCUCGAAGGA
rfam:Danio rerio unplaced genomic contig NA687, GRCz11 reference primary assembly.